rnacentral:rRNA from 1 species
GAUGAACGCUGGCGGCGUGCCUAAUACAUGCAAGUCGAGCGAACGGACGAGAAGCUUGCUUCUCUGAUGUUAGCGGCGGACGGGUGAGUAACACGUGGAUAACCUACCUAUAAGACUGGGAUAACUUCGGGAAACCGGAGCUAAUACCGGAUAAUAUUUUGAACCGCAUGGUUCAAAAGUGAAAGACGGUCUUGCUGUCACUUAUAGAUUGAUCCGCGCUGCAUUAGCUAGUUGGUAAGGUAACGGCUUACCAAGGCAACGAUGCAUAGCCGACCUGAGAGGGUGAUCGGCCACACUGGAACUGAGAAACGGUCCAGACUCCUACGGGAGGCAGCAGUAGGGAAUCUUCCGCAAUGGGCGAAAGCCUGACGGAGCAAAGCCGCGUGAGUGAUGAAGGUCUUCGGAUCGUAAAACUCUGUUAUUAGGGAAGAACAUAUGUGUAAGUAACUGUGCACAUCUUGACGGUACCUAAUCAGAAAGCCACGGCUAACUACGUG